GGGGCAGAGACCAGUGGAGGCUGAAUGUCUGCAUUGUGCUAAACUCAGCCAGGGGACCUGAAGGUGUCCUUGCACUCUGCCCCAAUUGGACGGAAGUGAAGGCUUCAAGUGCCCAGGACAAAAUGUAUCUGUUCUGCUCCUGCAUAACCCACUGGUGCCAUUGAAAUGAUGUCCUCAUCCUGCUAUGACCAACAGAGAGAGUUCCUGAAGCUCCUUGAACCUGGCCUCAAGCAGACUAAAAUUUGGUCUAUCUCCAUGAAAAUGGCCUCUGCUCCCUGAUGAAACCAUCUGUGCCUUGCCUUUUGGAGUGCUGUAAUUGGUUCCAGCGUGGGAGAUUUGCUUCACCGAUGCUUCACACAGAUCAGAAAUGAUGAACUCUGCACAGAUUCAGUCACUGUCGAGCAUGGUUUUGUGAAGAGGUGAUCUGCAACACGGCAAAACCCACAGCAAUUUUCAAAUAGAUUAAAAAA
rnacentral:lncRNA from 1 species